UCUGAGUUCCAAAGUCUCUUGGAAUUAGUGUUAGCUUAGGCAGUAUACUAAAAUCUGCAUACCAAGUUUCGUUGAAUUCGUGAGUGUAUUUUUUGGGUUAUGGGUUUUGGUUUCACCCAGACAGAUGGACGCCAACGGUAUAUUAUAUGUAUGUAGGUACAUACAAAGAAAAAAAUGAGAGUUUCCUAUAGGUACCAAAACUAAAUUGGUGUCAACAUAAAAAGAAAAUUUCAAUUUUACAGAGGCAUUUAAUUUUGUCAACGUAUAAACAACGAAUCAACGAUCAUGGGGCAAUUCACUCAACGAUUGAAAAGAGAACAACAUAUCUCUAUAAAAUGAAAAUAAGAACAACAAAUGGGUUUAUUACGCACAAAGUUUUCUUAUUAUCGGAGGUACGAACUCGGAUAAAUUAUACCAAUAUGAACCACUUUUUCUGAUAUAUCGAUAUCAGCGCCUACUUAGGAAAAUGAGUGCAAGAAUUAUUUAUGUCGCAGAAGAGUGAAUUUAACUUUUUCCCUUUGCGUUGAAUAAAGGUUAAUUUGCACCUUUGCAUGUAUAGUUAUAUUUAAUUCAUAAGCAUAAGCCUCAAAUUAUAAAUUUUAAGUCAUACUUAAAAUGAUGUCAUAUUUUGAUGUGGUCCAUUUAAAAUGGUACCUACGUAAGGAAAUUGUGUAGGAAUUGAAGAAUUUUAAUAUAAAUGGGAAAACUUUAA